UUGCCCUCCGCUUGUGCAGCUAGAAGAUGCAAGAUGGGCUCUUCCGGAAUUUCGCAACAAGUAUACACGAAUGUGAUCAGCAUUGGGAUGAGAGAGGAGCUACAGUACAAUAGGAUCACCUUGUUGGGACACCCAGUGGAGACUUCUUAAGAAGGGAAGAAACCUUACCCGAAAUCUGAAAAACAGUGCCUCCUGAGAAGACAAACUGAAGCUCGCCUUGCCACUUUGUAUGCACCAGACCUCCACACCCGAGGCUUAUCACAAGCAAUUAUCUUACCCAAAUAAAAAAUGAAAAUGGAAAAGUUAAAUAAAUAACAGGACAUCUUGAUGGAAUCGCAGUAAUGCUCAUCUUGGUUAACAUUAGCCCUGACUUUUGGACAGCGAGAUUUGUUAAUGCGCUUGUCCUUUGUUUAGG
rnacentral:lncRNA from 1 species